rnacentral:rRNA from 1 species
GGACUACCCGGGUUUCUAAUCCUGUUUGCUCCCCUAGCUUUCGUGCCUCAGUGUCAGGGGUUGUCCAGGGACUCGCUUUCGCCACUGGUGUUCCUCUCGAUAUCUACGCAUUUCACUGCUACACCGAGAAUUCCAGUCCCCCCUCCAACCCUCGAGCUGGAUAGUAUUCAAUGCGGUUUCCGAGUUGAGCUCGGAGAUUUCACAUCAAACUUACCCAGCCACCUACGCACCCUUUACGCCCAGUGAAUCCGAACAACGCUUGGGACCUCUGUAUUACCGCGGCUGCUGGCAC